rnacentral:lncRNA from 1 species
ACUAUUACCUUUCAAAUAGUCCCACCAGUCGAGAAGCUUUUUACAUUCUCAUAGGCUCGCCAACCGAGAGGAUAUUAUUUUUCAAUUGCUCAGCCAGUAGAUAGAUUCUUUAUUUUAUAGCCCCGACAGACGAGAGGCUAUUGCCUUUCAAUUGCUCCGCCAGUUGAGAGAUCCAUCAUUUUCAUAGCCCCGCCAGUUGAGGGGUUAUUACCUUUCAAACAGCCCCUCCAA